rnacentral:rRNA from 1 species
GACGAACGCUGGCGGCGUGCCUAAUACAUGCAAGUAGAACGCAGUUGCGAACGGGUGAGUAACGCGUAGGUAACUGCCUCAUAGCGGGGGAUAACUAUUGGAAAAGAUAGCUAAUACCGCCUACUGUGAGCUGGACCUGCGUUGUAUUAGCUAGUUGGUGAGGUAAAGGCCCACCACGGCGACGAUACAUAGCCGACCUGAGAGGGUGAUCUGCCACUCUGGGACGUAGACCCGGGCCAUACGUCUACGGGAGGCAGCAGUAGUGGAUCUUCUGCCAUGGACGGAAGUGUGACCGAGCAACGCCGCGUUAGUGAAUAAGCUUUUCGGAUCGUAAAGCUCUGUUGUUAGAGAAGCGUUAACUACCCAGAAAGGGACGGCUAACUACGUGCCAGCAGCCGGGGUAAUAC